rnacentral:lncRNA from 1 species
GAGCAUGAGUGAAGAAUGGUGCGAAGAUUGUCGUCAGCUUCAGGAGCUUGAAAGGAGACACCAGCUUCGCUCUCUUAUGCCGAUAUUACUUAAUAGUCUAACAACAAAAUCAAAAUUUAGAAGGAAAAGAAAAUUAACAAUAGACUUAUUGGGGGAAACAUAGACUUAAUAAUAAACUCAAGUGUUAGGGAUUUCAACAUAUUUGGGGAAAACAAUAGAAAAUUUAGAAAAAGUGAAAUUAGAGAUUUAGGAUUAAUGAUUAUAGUAGAAGAGUCAACUAGUUAGAGAUUUUUAUUCAAAAUUGAAGAGAAUCAAACCUUAGAAGAAGCUUUGAUUUGAGUUGGUGAAAUUAAGAUAAACUUGUCAAUAUCUUUGAAAAAGGCUUUCUUCCAUCGUACCAUCGGCGCUGAUGACGGAGAAACACAUCUUUCCGGCGAAGAAAUGGAUUCAGUUAUGGUUCAACAUCAAAUGAUCAAAUCGAAAUUGUUGAUUUCCGAUGACAUUCAUCGCAGGGAUUUGUCGUCUUCG